UACGGAGGGUGCGAGCGUUGUCCGGAAUCACUGGGCGUAAAGGGCGCGUAGGUGGCCUGUGGAAGUCUGCGGUGAAAGCCCGGCGCUCAACGCCGGGUCGGCCGUGGAUACUCUCGGGCUUGAGCUCACUAGAGGCAGAUGGAAUUCCGGGUGUAGCGGUGGAAUGCGUAGAGAUCCGGAAGAACACCGGUGGCGAAGGCGGUCUGACUGGGGU
rnacentral:rRNA from 1 species